rnacentral:rRNA from 1 species
ACCUGUUCCCAUUCCGAACACAGAAGUUAAGCCCCAGCACGCCGAUGGUACUUGGCUGGAGACGGCCCGGGAGAGUAGGUCGCUGCCGCAU